UACAGAGACCUCAAGCGUUGUCCGGAAUCAUUGGGCGUAAAGCGCGUGUAGGCGGCUGAGUAAGUCUGCUCUGAAAGCCCGGGGCUCAACCCCGGGAGGCGGGUGGAUACUGCUCAGCUCGAGUCCGGAAGAGGAGUGUGGAAUUCCUGGUGUAGCGGUGAAAUGCGCAGAUAUCAGGAGGAACACCAAUGGCGAAGGCAGCACUCUGGGACGGUACUGACGCUGAGACGCGAAAGCGUGGGGAGCAAACAGG
rnacentral:rRNA from 1 species